GAUGAACGCUGGCGGCGUGCCUAAUACAUGCAAGUCGAGCGAACAGACGAGGAGCUUGCUCCUCUGACGUUAGCGGCGGACGGGUGAGUAACACGUGGAUAACCUACCUAUAAGACUGGGAUAACUUCGGGAAACCGGAGCUAAUACCGGAUAAUAUAUUGAACCGCAUGGUUCAAUAGUGAAAGACGGUUUUGCUGUCACUUAUAGAUGGAUCCGCGCCGCAUUAGCUAGUUGGUAAGGUAACGGCUUACCAAGGCAACGAUGCGUAGCCGACCUGAGAGGGUGAUCGGCCACACUGGAACUGAGACACGGUCCAGACUCCUACGGGAGGCAGCAGUAGGGAAUCUUCCGCAAUGGGCGAAAGCCUGACGGAGCAACGCCGCGUGAGUGAUGAAGGUCUUCGGAUCGUAAAACUCUGUUAUUAGGGAAGAACAAAUGUGUAAGUAACUAUGCACGUCUUGACGGUACCUAAUCAGAAAGCCACGGCUAACUACGUGCCAGCAGCCGCGGUAAUACGUAGGUGGCAAGCGUUAUCCGGAAUUAUUGGGCGUAAGGCGCGCGUAGGCGGUUUUUUAAGUCUGAUGUGAAAGCCCACGGCUCAACCGUGGAGGGUCAUUGGAAACUGGAAAACUUGAGUGCAGAAGAGGAAAGUGGAAUUCCAUGUGUAGCGGUGAAAUGCGCAGAGAUAUGGAGGAACACCAGUGGCGAAGGCGACUUUCUGGUCUGUAACUGACGCUGAUGUGCGAAAGCGUGGGGAUCAAACAGG
rnacentral:rRNA from 1 species